AGGACGAACGCUGGCGGCGUGCUUAACACAUGCAAGUCGAGCGAGACUUCGGUCUAGCGGCGAACGGGUGAGUAACACGUGGGCAACCUGCCCCGAGCUCUGGGAUAACUCCGGGAAACCGGGGCUAAUACCGGAUACGACCCGAGAAGACAUCUUCUCGGGUGGAAAGUUUUUCGGCUCGGGAUGGGCCCGCGGCCUAUCAGCUUGUUGGUGGGGUAACGGCCCACCAAGGCGACGACGGGUAGCUGGUCUGAGAGGACGAUCAGCCACACUGGGACUGAGACACGGCCCAGACUCCUACGGGAGGCAGCAGUGGGGAAUCUUGCGCAAUGGGCGAAAGCCUGACGCAGCAACGCCGCGUGAGGGAUGACGGCCUUCGGGUUGUAAACCUCUUUCGAGCAGGGACGAUAAUGACGGUACCUGCAGAAGAAGCUCCGGCCAACUACGUGCCAGCAGCCGC
rnacentral:rRNA from 1 species